rnacentral:rRNA from 1 species
GAUGAACGCUGGCGGCGUGCCUAAUACAUGCAAGUCGAGCGAACGGACGAGAAGCUUGCUUCUCUGAUGUUAGCGGCGGACGGGUGAUUAACACGUGGAUAAACUAACUAUAAGACUGGGAUAACUUCGGGAAACCGGAGCUAAUACCGGAUAAUAUUUUGAACCGCAUGGUUCAAGAGUGAAAGACGGUCUUGCUGUCACUAAUAGAUGGAUCCGCGCUGCAUUAGCUAGUUGGUAAGGUAACGGCUUACCAAGGCAACGAUGCAUAGCCGACCUGAGAGGGUGAUCGGCCACACUGGCACUGAGACACGGCCCAGACUCUGACGGGAGGCAGCAGUAGGGAAUCUUCCGCAAUGGGCGAAAGCGUGACGGAGCAACGCCGCGUGAGUGAUGAAGGUCUUCGGAUCGUAAAGUUAUGUUAUUAGGGAAGAACAUAUGUGUAAGUACCUGUGCACAUCUUGACGGUACCUAAUCAGAAAGCCACGGCUAACUCCGUG